UACGUAGGGUGCAAGCGUUGUCCGGAAUUAUUGGGCGUAAAGAGCUCGUAGGCGGUCUGUCGCGUCUGCUGUGAAAAUCCAGGGCUCAACCCUGGACCUGCAGUCGAUACGAGCAGACUAGAGUGUUGCAGGGGAGACUGGAAUUCCUGGUGUAGCGGUGAAAUGCGCAGAUAUCAGGAGGAACACCGGGGGCGAAGGCGGGUCUCUGGGCAACAACUGACGCUGAGGAGCGAAAGCGUGGGGAGCGAACAGG
rnacentral:rRNA from 1 species